UACGUAGGGUGCGAGCGUUGUCCGGAAUUAUUGGGCGUAAAGAGCUUGUAGGCGGUUUGUCGCGUCUGCCGUGAAAAUCCGGGGCUCAACCCCGGACUUGCGGUGGGUACGGGCAGACUAGAGUGUGGUAGGGGAGACUGGAAUUCCUGGUGUAGCGGUGAAAUGCGCAGAUAUCAGGAGGAACACCGAUGGCGAAGGCAGGUCACUGGGCCGCAACUGACGCUGAGGAGCGAGAGCAUGGGGAGCGAACAGG
rnacentral:rRNA from 1 species